rnacentral:rRNA from 1 species
GAUGAACGCUAGCGGCAGGCCUAAUACAUGCAAGUCAAGGGGAUAGCAAUAUCACCGGCGGACGGGUGCGUAACGCGUACACAACGUGCCCAAGGGCGGAGGAAAGCGGCGGGAAACUGCCGGUAAUACUCCAUGGUGUUGUUGAGUGGCAUCACUUAACAACUAAAGUACAAGCGCCCUUGGAUCGGUGUGCGUUCGAUUAGCUAGUUGGCGGGGUAACGGCCCACCAAGGCUUCGAUCGAUAGGGGGUGUGAGAGCAUGACCCCCCCACACGGGUACUGAGACACGGACCCGACUCCUACGGGAGGCAGCAGUAAGGAAUAUUGGACAAUGGGCGGAAGCCUGAUCCAGCCAUGCCGCGUGAAGGACGAAGGCGCUCAGCGUUGUAAACUUCUUUUGGAUGGGAACAAUAACUCCGACUUGUCGGAACUUGAGGGUACCAUCAGAAUAAGCACCGGCUAACUCUGUG